AGUAACUGCGAGUGAAGCGGGAAAAGCUCAAAUUUAAAAUCUGGCGGUCUUUGGCCGUCCGAGUUGUAGUCUGGAGAAGUGCUUUCCGCGCUGGACCGUGUAUAAGUCUCUUGGAACAGAGCGUCAUAGAGGGUGAGAAUCCCGUCUUUGACACGGACUACCAGUGCUUUGUGAUGCGCUCUCGAAGAGUCGAGUUGUUUGGGAAUGCAGCUCAAAAUGGGUGGUGAAUUCCAUCUAAAGCUAAAUAUUGGCGAGAGACCGAUAGCGAACAAGUACCGUGAGGGAAAGAUGAAAAGCACUUUGGAAAGAGAGUUAAACAGUACGUGAAAUUGCUGAAAGGGAAACGCUUGAAGUCAGUCGCGUUGUCCGGGACUCAGCCUUGCUUUCGCUUGGUGCACUUUCCGGAUAACGGGCCAGCAUCGAUUUUGACCGUCGGAAAAGGGCUAGGGUAAUGUGGCACCUCCGGGUGUGUUAUAGACCUUAGUCGCAUACGGCGGUCGGGAUCGAGGAACGCAGCGCGCCGCAAGGCAGGGGUUCGCCCACAUUCGCGCUUAGGAUGCUGGCGUAAUGGCUUUAAACGACCCGUCUUGAAACACGGACCAAGGAGUCUAACAUACCUGCGAGUGUUUGGGUGGUAAACCCGAGCGCGUAAUGAAAGUGAAAGUUGAGACCUCUGUCGUGGAGGGCAUCGACGCCCGGACCUGACGUUCUCUGACGGAUCCGCGGUAGAGCAUGUAUGUUGGGACCCGAAAGAUGGUGAACUAUGCCUGAAUAGGGUGAAGCCAGAGGAAACUCUGGUGGAGGCUCGUAGCGAUUCUGACGUGCAAAUCGAUCGUCAAAUUUGGGUAUAGGG
rnacentral:rRNA from 1 species